UACGGAGGGUGCGAGCGUUAUCCGGAAUUACUGGGUUUAAAGGGUGCGUAGGCGGCUAUGUAAGUCAGGUGUGAAAGUUUGCGGCUCAGCCGUAAAAUUGCUUUUGAUACUGCAUGGCUAGAAUUAGGAUGAGGUCAGCGGAAUGUGGCAUGUAGCGGUGAAAUGCAUAGAUAUGACAUAGAACACCAAUUGCGAAGGCAGCUGGCUAGGCCGGGAUUGACGCUGAGGCACGAAAGCGUGGGGAGCGAACAGG
rnacentral:rRNA from 1 species